ensembl:lncRNA
UGAGGACGCGUCAGGUGCAGCGCCAAGGCGCCUCCCACAGCUCCCUUCAUGUCUGUCCCUCCCUUCUCUUCAACUCACCUGGUCAGGGCUUCCCGGGCCUCAGGGGCCGGAAAUUAGGCCAAGGGAGUGCUUAUUUCAGUGAAGCGGGAAGGAGGGAACUGGACAGAGGAACGUGACUGUACCACUCUAGGCCAUGGAGAUUCACGUGGCACCAAGUGUCGGGUCUUUUUCAGUGGUCUUCAGCCUUUAUUUGAAAAAUGUGAGAGAAAAGUGGAUACCGGAGAUAAUUCACCAUUGUUUGAAGACUCUUCAUUGGAACCAAAAUUGAUCUCAGAAAUGGGAUACCCUCUAUUAUCGAGAAACUUUUCAAAAACAGAAAUGUCUCACUCCUCAGACUGCUGAAAUGCCUCACUCCUCAGACUGCUGAAAUGCCUGUGACCUGAAGGCUGUCAAAUACAUGGAGUGUUUCACACAGAAAAACCUAAAGGAUGCAUUUGACAAAGCACUAUUGACUGCCUCAGAGACUGUGGAACUGAAGAAAAGCCAUAGGCAGAGGUGCCCACUGGGCUUUUGGACACAGCAUUUUCCCAACGUCACUGCCUGGUAUACUCUAUUUGAGGGAAAAUUAUCAACCUGUUAUUGAGUGCUGGUGGACACUGAGAAGCCAACUAAGUGGCGCUAGUGGUAAAGAACCAACCCCCCAACCCCUACCCCGACUAUGGAGGAUACUUAAGAGAUGUGGGUUUGAUCCCUGGCUCGGGAAGACCACCUGGAGAAGGAAAUAGCAAAUAACUCCAGAAAAUUCCAUGGACAGAGGAGACUGACCCAGUCCAUAGGGUCACAGAGUCGGACAUGACUGAAGCGACUUAGCACACACGUAUGUCAUAUGCUUGUAAUUUCACAAAUGCUGGAUGGAUCAUCCCAGUCAGAGAAAGCUGCAAAGAAAAAGUAUUAGUGGGACACCCAAAUACAUAAUUGCCUUUUGCCGCUGGUAGGUGGAUUGAAUUUUUUUUCCCUUUGAGUGUUGAAAAUAAAAUAAGUCUCUGUAACUAA